UGCCUGCCUCAGCUUCCCAAAAUGCUAGGAUUACAAGUGUGAGCCACUGCACCCAGCCUCCUUCUCUUCUAAAUCUGCCUCAUACAUUUCCUGUAUUGCUCCAUCAUCUUCAAAACUGGAGUCUUCCAUGCCUGAGAACCACCUGUCAAGCCCUCAGUGAUGUGGAGAAGCUUUGUUUCAUCCCCUAAUGGGGUGGGAUCAGAAUGUGUUCUGGAAGCCUCUGGGCCUCCAUGUGGCCUGCUGGAGAUGCGUGAUUCCCUGCCCCAAGGCACUGAUCCUAGGAACCCACAGGUGCCCCAGAGAAAGGGCCUGAAGUUGCUAAGAGGGACGCGGAUGCUGCCAGAUUUGCAUCUGGGAGGAGCAGCUCCUAAUAUGUGACAAUUAUUCCUAGACUUUCCAACUGCUCGUGUUGGGUGAGAUUUUCAAAGCCAAUUAUUUUAUAAGCAAGGCAUUCAUAACUUUGGAAUCCAUCAUUAGCAUCGCAGAGAAGGGAGGACACUAAGGAUUGCCGUAUCUAGCAAAUGCAAAUACGGGAUGCCCUUUGAAACUUGAGUUUCAGAUUUAACAAAAUCAUUUUUAUAAGUGUGUCCCAAAUGGUAUACAAGACAUACUUAACAACAACAAAAAAUCAUUUUUGAAUGAAUUGAUUUUGGGGUGAAUUUUGAUUUGUAUUUCCUCAUUUGAAAUUCAAAUUUAACUAGGCAUCCUGUGUUUUAUCCAGCUCUCCUCUCCAGGCAACACAAACAUGACACAGCGUCCUCAUUAAGGGUGAGGGCUGAGAAGCCCUGGGCCAGUUCCUUGCAUUCCCUGACCUCUGUUUCCCAGCUAUACACAGGACUGUAGUAUUUGCACCUACCUCAGAAAGUGCUGUGUGGUGCUUGGCACCUUGUAAGUACUCAACAAAUAUUUACUGUCACUAUUGUUUUCAUGAAUCAAGGACCCAGCUCUUCAGAGUUAACUAAGCCCUUGUCACAUUUCACAUUGCCAUGCACAGACGCACACACGUGUCUCUGAAGAGUGGAGGCUCCCGAACGACUGACUGGCCCUGUGGGCAUGCGUCAUCCCUGAAGGAGACCUCUCAGCCUCCUCCUACACAGACUGAGUCUCUGCUGAGAUUCAGAGUCAUCCUAGUUGGUAUGGCAAGGAGCUGCUUUAUGACCACUGCAAAUUCCAGAAUUUUCCAGCUCCUGUCUCCCCGUUGGUUCCAUCUCAUUUCCAAUUCCCAGUGGCCUUGUUUGGACAACUAUGAUUCAGGAUUUGUUUGCUGACAUCCCUGAUUCUUGAGCUCAGAGUUGGAAAGAUGAGCACCAAGAAAACAGGAGAAACAGAAAAAUAUUCUCCUUAAUUGUCACGUGGGAUUUCAGGCAAAACCGCAGUGCAUGGGAAGUUAUAGGCAAAAGGCCUCAAGAACUGAAGAUUCAGGGUGUGCAUGUGGAUGAGAAGCCCUUUGGGGGUACCUCAUGGAUCAUCUUUCAAAAUCUGGAAUUUUCUGUUUGGCCCCAAGGUAAUGUCCUCUGGCCUUCUGCCGGGGUCACCCUGGUGGCCUGGCUAAGUUCCAGGUAGGGAGGGAGGCCACCUCCCUGACCUGUGAAAACCCCUGGGCUUUUGAUAUACAUUCAGCAUUCCAAAUGGUCAAAACCAGAGGCAUCAUUAAUAAAGGAUGUGUCGGAAGGAA